UACGGAGGGUGCAAGCGUUAUCCGGAUUCACUGGGUUUAAAGGGUGCGUAGGAGGGCAGGUAAGUCAGUGGUGAAAUCUCUGGGCUUAACCCAGAAACUGCCGUUGAUACUAUCUGUCUUGAAUACCGUGGAGGUGAGCGGAAUAUGUCAUGUAGCGGUGAAAUGCUUAGAUAUGACAUAGAACACCAAUUGCGAAGGCAGCUCGCUACACGAAAUAUUGACUCUGAGGCACGAAAGCGUGGGGAUCAAACAGG
rnacentral:rRNA from 1 species